rnacentral:rRNA from 1 species
CGAACGGGUGAGUAAUACAUCGGAACGUGCCCAGUCGUGGGGGGAGUAACUACUCGAAAGAGUAGCUAAUACCGCAUACGAUCUGAGGAUGAAAGCGGGGGACCUUCGGGCCUCGCGCGAUUGGAGCGGCCGAUGGCAGAUUAGGUAGUUGGUGGGAUAAAAGCUUACCAAGCCGACGAUCUGUAGCUGGUCUGAGAGGACGACCAGCCACACUGGGACUGAGACACGGCCCAGACUCCUACGGGAGGCAGCAGUU